rnacentral:rRNA from 1 species
GAUGAACGCUAGCUACAGGCUUAACACAUGCAAGUCGAGGGACCGGCGCGCGGGUGAGUAAAACGUAUCCAACCUGCCCUUUACUCGGGGAUAGCCUUUCGAUAGAAAGAUUAAUACCCGAUAUAAUGGAUGGGGAUGCGUUCUAGUAGGUUGUUGGUGAGGUAACGGCUCACCAAGACUUCGAUGGAUAGGGGUUCUGAGGGUAAGGUCCCCCACAUUGGAACUGAGGCACGGUCCAAACUCCGACGGGAGGCAGGAGUGAGGAAUAUUGGUCAAUGGGCGUUAGCCUGAACCUGCCAAGUAGCGUGAAGGAUUAAGGCUUAUGGGUCGUAAACUUCUUGUAUAUAAGAAUAGGUAUUAUAUGAAUAAGGAUCGGCUAACUCCGUGCCAGCAGCCGCGGUAAUUC